rnacentral:misc_RNA from 1 species
UCGUAACAAGGUUUCCGUAGGUGAACCUGCGGAAGGAUCAUUACUGAUUUGCUUAAUUGCACCACAUGUGUUUUUCUUUGAAACAAACUUGCUUUGGCGGUGGGCCCAGCCUGCCGCCAGAGGUCUAAACUUGCAACCAAUUUUUUAUCAACUUGUCACACCAGAUUAUUACUAAUAGUCAAAACUUUCAACAACGGAUCUCUUGGUUCUCGCAUCGAUGAAGAACGCAGCGAAAUGCGAUACGUAAUAUGAAUUGCAGAUAUUCGUGAAUCAUCGAAUUUUUGAACGCACAUUGCGCCCUCUGGUAUUCCGGAGGGCAUGCCUGUUUGAGCGUCGUUUCUCCCUCAAACCGCUGGGUUUGGUGUUGAGCAAUACGACUUGGGUUUGCUUGAAAGACGGUAGUGGUAAGGCGGGAUCGCUUUGACAAUGGCUUAGGUCUAACCAAAAACAUUGCUUGCGGCGGUAACGUCUACCACGUAUAUCUUCAAACUUUGACCUCAAAUCAGGUAGGACUACCCGCUGA